UGCCGGCCGCUCACUCCUUCUCCUCCCUCCGCAGUCUCUCGGGUGGCAGAGGAAGGAACAGGAAAAAAGUGCUCUCUGGAGAAGCAGCCAAGUGUGGAGGUGUCGAUGGGGGACUGCCUGGCCCCACUGGACUCUGUGCCCUCCCAACCCCCCCGGGACCCCCGGAUGCCCCGCUCCAUUCUACGCAAUAAGGCAGAGGAGCAGUUGUCCCCCGGCAACCCCCCACAGAGGAGGAAACAGAAGAGGGUGCGCUUCCUGGAAGACAAUCCCACCUUCUUGUCCAUCGAGUGGUGGAAUAAGAAACAGAGGAAGAGGAGGUGGGAGAAAAAACGGCAGGAGAUGAAGAAGGCAAUGCACUUGAGGAGGGUAAUGAUACGCCGGCAGAAGGAGCAGAUGUUGAAGAGUGGGGAGAAGGCAGAGGGACAAUGGCAGAGGAAGCAGAGCGGUGAGUGACCCCGGCACCGAGCGCCCCACAAACGGCCGACACCCCACGGAGGAGCCCUGAGACGGGGCUGUGCCUGGAGGUGCCGGCUGCUCACUCCUUCUCCUCCCUCCACAGCCUCUCGGUUGGCAGAGGAAGGAGCAGCACCCAGGGCAAAGCAGGAGAAGUGGUGAGUGUGGGGGAGACCCCCAGAUCCUACCCCAGAACCUCCCCCCUGUGCCCUGCCCCUGCCUGCACUCGGCAGCCCUGCCCACCGGCCAAGGAGGGGGGGCUGCCCGCGGGUCCCACCACACAGGCCGGGGUGCAGCGGGGUCUCUUCUCUCUCCUCUGCAGGCCCAGUGAAAAGGUGUUGAAGCGAGAGGAUCUUUACCCAAAGGCACCGUGGAGCUCUGUGUCGUCCCUCACCAACCUUUCUUAUUUGGGCAGUAAUGGCUUCCUGCACCCCCUGGACCCCGAUGGCUCCCUGCCCUUCCUGCCACCCCUGUCCCAUUCCUGUAUCAUAGAAUCAUAGAAUGGUCCAGGCUGGAAGGCACCUCCAAAGGUCCGACCUCCCCACACUCAGCAGGGACACCCCCAACUAGACCAGGUUGCCCAGGGCCUCAUCAGGCCUCAUCAGGCCUCACCUUGAAUAUCUCCAGGGAUGGGGCCUCAACCACCUCCCUGGGCAACCUGUUCCAGUGCUCCACCACCCUCACAGUAAAGAACUUUUUCCCAAUCUCCACCCUAAAUCUGCUCCCCUC
rnacentral:lncRNA from 1 species